rnacentral:rRNA from 1 species
GACAGAGGGGGCAAGCGUUGUCCGGAAUUACUGGGCGUACAGGGCACGCAGGUGGCUGCAUAGGUGGCGUGUGAAAGCCCCGCGCUUAACGCGGGGAGGCCACGCCAAACGGUGCGGCUCGAGCGAUGCAGAGGGUGGUGGAAUUGCCGGUGUAGUGGUGAAAUGCGCAGAGAUCGGCAGGAACACCAAGGACGAAGGUAACCACCUGGGCAUCAGCUGACACUCAUGUGCGACAGCGUGGGGAGCGAACCGG